AUGAUUUUUUAUUAUUUGUGAACGUACUACGAACAAACAAAAAAUAUUAUAGUCAAAAAAAAUUAAAUCAAAACUUUUAACAAUGGAUCUCUUGGUUCUCGUAUCGAUGAAGAACGCAGCGAAACGCGAUAUUUCUUGUGAAUUGCAGAAGUGAAUCAUCAGUUUUUGAACGCACAUUGCACUUUGGGGUAUCCCCCAAAGUAUACUUGUUUGAGCGUUGUUUCUCUCUUGGAAUUGCAUUUGCUUUUCUAAAAAAUCGAAUCAAAUUCGUUUGAAACUUCAUUUAUUUCAACCUCAGAUCAAGUAGGAUUACCCGCUGAACUUAAGCAUAUCAAUAAGCGGAGAUCGCCAACUUGGUCAUUUAGAGGAAGUAAAAGUCGUAACAAGGUCUCCGUUGGUGAACCAGCGGAGGGAUCAUUACCGAGUUAUACAACUCAUCAACCCUGUGAACAUACCUAUAACGUUGCCUCGGCGGGAACAGACGGCCCCGUAACACGGGCCGCCCCCGCCAGAGGACCCCCUAACUCUGUUUCUAUAAUGUUUCUUCUGAGUAAACAAGCAAAUAAAUUA
rnacentral:misc_RNA from 1 species